rnacentral:rRNA from 1 species
UGGGUUUUUGGUNNACCGNCGAAAGUCUGAACCAGCCAUGCCGCGUGCAGGAAGACUGCCCUACGGGUUGUAAACUGCUUUUAUAUAGGAAUAAACCCUCGUUCGUGAACGAGGCUGAAGGUACUAUAAGAAUAAGGACCGGCUAACUCCGUGCCAGCAGCCGCGGUAAUACGGAGGGUCCAAGCGUUAUCCGGAUUUAUUGGGUUUAAAGGGUCCGCAGGCGGGAGAAUAAGUCAGUGGUGAAAUCCUGUCGCUUAACGAUAGAACUGCCAUUGAUACUGUUUUUCUUGAGUAUAGAUGAAGUGGGCGGAAUGUGUCAUGUAGCGGUGAAAUGCAUAGAUAUGACACAGAACACCGAUUGCGAAGGCAGCUCACUAAACUAUAACUGACGCUCAUGGACGAAAGCGUGGGGAGCGAACAGGAUUAGAUACCCUGGUAGUCCACGCUGUAAACGAUGAUUACUCGGUGUUAACGAUAUACGGUUAGUGCCUAAGCGAAAGUGAUAAGUAAUCCACCUGGGGAGUACGGUCGCAAGAUUGAAACUCAAAGGAAUUGACGGG